UCAAGAUCCGCAACUGCUACUACUAAUCAAUACGACAUCGCGUAGGCUACCCCUGAAACAGCUCUUUCCCCUCACCCAAGUCCUGAAUUCCCAGAACACAAGGAUUUUACAGAACUUUCAAUCUCCAUAGAAGCUGUCUCCUUAUCUUCUCCAGGUUUUCUCUGAAUAGAUGCCGUCAGAGGACGCAAAACCCGUGAAGAAAGAAGAGGUAGUAAAGAAAUAACAAGGAGGAGAAGGAAAAGAGGAAGAGAAGAGCUUGAGUGCCCUACUCCAAGCCCGGAAAAAGAACCCAACAAAUGCUGGUUCUUUAGCUACAAAAACUGGGUCUAAAUUUACCAAAAUUUAAGAAAGAAGAGCCCCAAGAUGACGAUUUUGAUGAACCCAUUAAAGGAAAGGGCAAGGGUUCUUCUGGUUCUAGCUCUAAACCAGUAGCUAAAGUGAAGAAAUAAGAAGCCAAUAGCGAUGAUGAUGAUGAUCAUAAAACCAUCUUCAAAAAGACCCCUGCUUCCAAGACUGAUAAGGUGAUUUGGAUUUUUUUUCUUUAUUACGUGUGUUCCUUUUCUAAAAGUUAAAAUUUUUGGUCUUGCAUUUCAUAAAGGUGUAGGUUUUAUAAUUUUUGUUCAGUCCCCGUGGCUUGCUGACAGACAGAAGUAGUCCGUGGAAGCAAAUCUUUUAAUUUCUCUGGUACUGAAAUGGUGAAAAAGAUGUGAUUGAAGUGUAAAUUUUUAGGAUUAUUUUAUUUUAUUGUUUUUAAUUUAGAUAGAAGAAUGGAGUUAUUUGAUUGAUGGGUGUGGUUUUGUACUAUUUUGCGGAUUGGCUUGAGAUAAAGGAAUUGAACAAGAAGAUAGUAAAAAAAGAGGAAGAUAGUAAGAAGACAAAGGGGUCUGUGGCAACUGCGCAGAAUGUGAAGGAGAGGGAGAGGAAGGUUUAUGAUUUUCUUGGACAGAAGAGAGAUCCUCCUGAGGAGAGAGACCCAUUAAGGAUAUUUUAUGAGACUCUGUAUGAGCAGAUUCCGGAUAGUGAAAUGGCACAAUUCUGUUGAGACAUACUGUCUUAUUUUUUUUUUUGGUGAUGAACCUUCUUUAGGGUCCAGUCCCUUUGUUAUCACACCAAAAUCUCGGCCCCGGAAAUUGGGAAAGAAGUUUGUUGUUAGCUAAGAAGGACCUGCUUAUCACCUACAAUGCCUUCCUUGACCCUCUUUGUACCUUUAAUGAGGGCACCAUGAUCUUCCAAACUCUGAACCUAUAGUUAUUUGAAUUUAUCAUGCUGGCUUAACAAAUGAUGGAAUUGUUUGAGCUUUGAUGAUAAAGAGAGUGAUCAAACCACCCUAACUAAAUUUACUUGAGAGUUUUUUAUACGAAGUGGAUAUGGAAGGCACUGGAUAGGUUAUAUUCUCAACAGUAGACAUAAAGGCGUGCCUCUUGGUAAGCAGAUAGCACAAUGUUUGCAUGAUUUUUCUGCCCAUGCACAUAUGUUUCACAUUUUACACAGGAAUUGUACAGUGCAAGGUUGUAAACGAAGAGUUUGCAAAAGGCUUGCCAUGGUAUAGAAGGAUGUUGAGCAUCGGUGCAUAAAAUCAGCUAAAUGGAUCUUGAUGCAAAAUAGAAAUGUCGUAAAUGUCAGCUUAGAAGCAUAAAUAUACUGCACAAGUGUGUACAUAUUUAGUCACCUUAUUUUUGGUUUAGAUUGUGCCCAACAAGUAUUAAUGGGUCUAAUUCCCUAUUCAGCCUCUCAUUUGAUGUUUGGUAGUUGAGGAUGUGUAGACCAUAUGAGAAGAUUGUGGACAGCUUAUGGUGCCUGCAAUGUAACCAUAUGAUGAAUUGUGUAGAAUCUGUUGCUUUUGCCAACGCUAACACAAAGAUUUCUUUGAUAAUGUAUUAAAACAACAUCACUGUCUUAUUUCUUGUAGUUGUUUAUAUUAGAUUAUAGUAAAAGGGUUUGCUCCCUGAAUUGUAGUUUUAUUGGCAUAAAUUCACAGAUUAUUUCUAGGACAUGGCAUCUUUAUAUCCAGGUAUCUUUAAUAUAGGUCACAAUGUACUAUUUUCAUGUUGGACGUUUGAGCCAUUUUUUUUAAUGAAUUCCCUUGAAUUUGACACAAAAUAUGGCGUUUGUCUAAAAGCAAUCACAGCUUCUUUUUUCUCAAAAAUAGUGGUAGGUUCAGAAAGGGGAAAUACAGCUGUUCAUGAUCAUCUCAUAACGGUCAUGGGAGGAAUGCAUGUAUCCUUGUCUCAAAUGUUAUUCUUGUUUGUUUAUCAUACAUGGUAUCUGGAACUGAAGAACUCGGUACCAAUUUCAGUUCUCUGAAAAGAAGUUGACUUUGCUCUUGGGUUCAUCGCGCCCACGUUUUAUCUCUGCUCCAUCAUCUGCUACACCACUGAAAGUUUGGGUAUGGUUAUUUGUAUAGUGUAGCAGAUGAGCAGUUUAAUUCUCUGGCUAAUCACAACCCCUUUUCUUCUAUAAUGUAUUGCAGCGCGGCCUGCUAAAAACAUUCAACAGUUUAGACUUUCAAUAAAGUGAAAAGGUUGAUGGAAUCUGGUUUGCUCUCUAUGGAAGUGGCCAAGAAAGUUUAUGAGAAGAAACAGAAAAACAAUAAGCUCACUUUGCCGGUGGAAGCAGCUAGUGUCACUAAGAAAAUUCAGUCAGCAACUGUUACAAAAAAGACACCAUCAUCUGCAGUAUCUUCAACCAAAAACGAAGACAACAGUCUCCAAAGUAUUGUCUUCAACUAAAACGAAGGCAACAGACUCCAAAGUUGCAUCUGGACAGCCUAAGAAACGCAAGGCCGGAGAUGAAAGCUCCGAAGAUGACUUCUUAAUCACUAGGAAAAACACAAGACUAAUUAAUUGAAUUUGUUAAACUACAGGAAUAGAGUUAUAAUUAACUAAUUAGAAUUCUAUAUAUAUAUUUUAAUUAUCUGUGGUCUGCCCAGAGCGGGGCUUGGCUACGUGAA